CUUACAACGAAAAUUACCUUUGGGCUCUCUUAUAUUGGUAAUAAAGUUAAAGCAGAGUAAGAAAAUUUAGUAGUUGUACCUUUUGUUUCAGGGGAACUCAAAUCUAUAUUUAUAGUUAAAUCGAUUUAGUCUGGUCCUUUUGGUAAAAUUUUUAGUUAGAUUUAGAGGUUAUAGAUAAUUAAGGGGUGAAAUAUGUUCGAAGAUUUUAGUAUCUAGUUGCUUUGAAAACCAAAAGGCUAAGCUUUUGGUUUUCUAAACAAGGGUUAUGUAGUAGAAAAACUUAGGCUUUAGAUUAGCCAUAUUAUUAGAUUGUUUUAAGUAAUUUCUGGUUAUGUUUAAUAUUAGAGUUUGUAGGCGGUAUUUAUAUAUUAAGUUAGGUAAAAAUAAUGAGUUUAUUGAAUAAAAUAGAGGAGUUUGGAAAAAACUUGGGCGGAGCUAGAAAGUUUAGCAAAAACAUUUCUAUUAGUGUUAGAAAAAGUAAGGCCUGCCCAGUGAUAGUUAACGGCUGCGGUAUUUUGACCGUGCUAAGGUAGCAUAAUCACUUGGUAUUUAAUUGGUAGCUGGAAUGAAAGGUUAAACUAGUUUUUUAGUUUGUUAGGCUAAAUAGGAAAUUUAAGUUAAGGUUAGAAUUCUUUAAUUUUCUAGGGGACGAUAAGACCCUAGAAGCUUGACAAUAUAGAGAUUUGUUAGUGUUAAGGUUAAUUUUGUUUCACUGGGGCGGUGCUGGUGUAUAAACUACUACUGGUUUGAUAGAUCCUUUUAUAAAGAAAAUACGGAAAAGUUACUCUAGGGAUAACAGUGUGAUAUAUUUGGAGAGACCUUAUCGAUAAAUAUGAUUGCAACCUCGAUGUU
rnacentral:rRNA from 1 species